rnacentral:sRNA from 2 species
UAUUCAAUCUCUCAAGCCUCUACGUUAUCACUUACCGUCAUUAUCAUAUUUUAUAGUGAGGGAUUUCCCUGCUACCUCCAUACCCUCUUUUCAGAGACAAGAAUUCAGUUAUGGCUAGCCUUACCACCGCCAAUUCUGCUCCCCGCACCAAUGGCGUUCAACGUAUUACAUGGCAGGAGAAACUUCAAGGUCCGAGACGUCCUUGAAAAUGGAAAGUCCCGUAUUGCCAAGUACUAAAAUCCUCUGAAGAACACUGCAGGAUAACCCAAAUUCAGGCCCCAGUUUUCAAUCUUAUGUCAGACCGUCGAG